CUCAGACUAAGCAAGUUAGCAGUUUUGGGUGCAGUUCAUGGUGUUUAUCUAAGUCUGUAAAAUAGAGUUCGAAGCCUCUUGCAUCCUGUUGGCUGAAGAGACUCUGCACGAGCGCUGUGGAACCACAGACCUGCUCAGCUUAUCCUGAUUCAAGUGGUCUGAACGCUUGGGGUCAGCGCCGUGUGUCACUGGUGACUGAUUUUUGCCCCCGUUUAUGACCUGGGACCUUCAGUGGAUGGUAUUUUGAGAAUCUAAAAAGAUCCUUUAAAAUCGUGAGACUCUAAGAAGCUGGCUGCCAUCAGUUCACUGUCAGUGGUCAGAGAAUUUUAUUUUAAAAAAUACAGGGAAUUCCCUGGCAGUCCAGUGGUUAGGAAUUUGAGCGCCCACUGCAGGAGGUAGGGGUUUGAUCUUUGGCCAGGGAACUAAGAUCCUAUAUGCCAUGUGGUGCAGCCAGAAAAUUUUGAAAACUUUUUAAAAAUUAAAAAAAUACAAACUUGUGACUGCCCUAGGGUUUAGUACAGUGUUUGACCGUUUUGUCCAGAACGCUGCCCUGCCCUCCCUCCCCCAGGUGGUUUCUCGUCUGUUUUGUUUGCCUGUGCUUCAGGACGUGUGGAAUCUCGGUCCCCUGACCAGGGAGCCAGCGUGCACCGCCUGCAUUGGAUGCGCAGAGUCUUAACCACCGGACCUCCAGGUCCCUCCCGUCCAGGUUUAAAGCAUUCCUGGGCAAGCUUUUCUUUUCGAGAGACUCGGGGAUUGGGCCAAGGAACGUCCUCACUUGGGUGGUGGCGUGCCGGCCAUGUGGAGCUUGUGGUGUGCGCCGACAAGCAGGGCCUCUGACAUCAGACCCUUGGAGCCGCCUGGGCUGUGCCGGACAGUUUGCUGUGUGAUUUGGAGGAGGAAAAGGCACUGCUUCACACCUCAGAGCUUUUCUCAUCUGCAAAAUAGCCCCGUGAAAUCACCUCUGCUUUUCAUUUUUUGACGACACAUUCACAUUCUAUAUAGGUGAAAAACAAAGCAAACAACAGCCACAGAAUCAAAAGUACUGAAGAAGGACAUAUUGUUUCAACAGCUUGGCAAGCAUCCAUAAACUUAUCUAUGCCUACAUUCAGAAUUUGAGUUCACAUUUGAUGCUUGUACUCAGGAAGAUGCCUGUGUUUAUGAAAAAGUCACAGUUAAAUAAAACCAUGAAGUCCAGGCAGGGAGACUUGUUCUUGAACAAGUGAGUGCUGUCUUUCUAAUUGUGUUCUAUUUGUUCAGUAAACUAAAGUUUUGUGUGUGUGUUUUAAAGUUUCUUUUUAUUAAGUGAGAGUUAUUCUGUUAUAUACUUGGAUGUAAAACAUAUUUCAGUUAGUUUCACAUUUUCAUUUGAAACUUGUGAAAUGCUUAAGUUAUUUAAUAAUUUAUAAUACUUCAAGAGAAGUAUCACAGUGCAUUAUGGAAGCAUCAUAUAACCUAAGAUAGUUUUAUGAAAUGUGUUUUUUCAUAUUUUCAGAUUAAGCAUAUUUGGAGGUUCCCCAUCAAUUUAUCUUUGAACUUCAGUGAAUAAAAUAUAAAAUUUUCCUUUCAUAUUCUCCAAUAUGAAAAAGCAUUCAUUUAGCAUAUCAUUGUGGUUUAGGCUUCCAAACGCCUUAUAGGUUAAAUUCCUAAUUUAUAGUUUUUUAAUUUAUUGCUUGUUUCUUUUGUUUGAUAGUCCUGUGUUUGUAUCUUUAUAUUACACACUUUCCUGAUUAUAUAGUAAUAUAAUUUGGGCUAUCAGCUUUGCCUCACUUCAGCACUUAGAAAAAGCUCUAUGUGAAAGUUGAGUUGUAGUUGAGUCAAAAAAAUUCUUUUCACUUGAUCUUGUUUUAGUUAAUACUAUAAAGCAUUCUGUUAUACUGAGCUGUCUCCCACCUUUUAGAUAAUACAUGCCUUGAUUUCUUUAAAAACUCUACAUUUAUUAGAAUUUUUUCUGAUGAACAUGUGCUUAUAAGUUUUAAAUGUUGCAGAAUCUGGGUAAAUGUUAAAAUGUUCCCAUUUUCCCCCAUUGUUUUCCAGUUGUCAUUUUUCAUUUCAUUGAUUGAUAGAGAACAUAAUACAGUUGGAUUUUUUAUAAUAUUUGAUAUGUUCUGAAAUUAAACUCCAGCUAUUUUCUAUCAAGUUUAAAGAUUUGUUAUCUCUCCUCAUGAUUAUUUGCUAUGCAUUUGGCUUAAAUUAUUUAGCUUCCUGUUUCAUUACAUCUUUCUCAUCUCAUCAGUUCCCAAUAGUAGGAGUCCAUGCUUCCAAACAGAUGUCUCCUAUAGGCUUCAGUAGUUGAAAACUGUCACUUACAGUAGGGAAUCUGAUACACAUGAGUUUGCCUUUUAGGUCUAUUCGUUUCAGUUGUUUUUUUUUUUUUUUUUAAAGCAGUUUUACCUUUUGAUAAAGGUAAAGUAUUAUUCAGUGGAAAAUAUUAUGCACAAUUAUAAUAAGCAAUUAAAUGAUCUCUUUUCAUUGUUAAUGGCUUGAUAUUAAGGUUUGUUUGUUUUUAAACUAAAGAGAUGAUAGUAUCAAAUUCUGGCUUUUUCUGGCUUUCAAUGAAAGGUGAGAUUUAGUUUGUUUUGUUUUUAACUUUUAAGUUACCAGUGCAUUAUGAAACCAGUAGCAGUUUCACUUUUAGGAUUUUUAUAUCUAUAUAAAUUAGGAUUAUUUAUUAAUAUUAGCAUUAACUUCCUUUAACUUUAUGGAAGAGAACCUGUCCUGAGGAUGUUUGUAUAAUUUUAUGCAUAUUAUUCCUGUGAGACUGAGUAAAACUGUUCCAUCAAUUAAAAUCUUAGUAGUAGAACCUGUUCAUCUACUUAGCUGUCUUUCUUGGGAUUAACCAGAUGCAAUUAUAACUGGCUUUUAAAAGUUCCAACCUUUUUUCCUUGCUUAUUUCAAAGUGAUUCUUUAGAACUGUUAAGCUAUAUGGUCAGUGUUUGUCCAUAAGUGCUGUCUAAAGCUACUUAAAUAUAGGAUUGGGGCUAUUUGUUUUGUUUUUUUUAAGUAGUUUGAAAAAAUUUCUUUGCUACUUGUUCUUCAUGAAACUUUUAUAGGAGUUCAAAUUCCCUGGAAAAAUAAGGGUUUUGUAAGAUUUCUUUGACUGAAGAAGUAUAAAGGUUGCUAAAGGUAUAUAGUUGUCUUAAUGUUGACAUAAAUUUCCCUUAUUCUGUAGAUAUUUCUGAAAAUUAUUGUUUUAGAUAUCCUAUUUAUGUUUAAUAAUCAUUGUUUAAAAUUUUGUAGUAACAUAGUCAGGAGCACAAAAAAAUACCAUAUUAACCAGAAUACUGGGUUAUUUCAAGUAAAGGUAUGACUUUGAAAGAGAAGCAGAGUUUGGGAAAUAGGUACUGGUAAAUCCUGCAUUCUGAGAUAACUUUCUAAAUAUGUGGCCAUUCUGUAUUAUUUAGACUAAACGUGAAGAGUGUAUAGAAAUACUCUCUUCACAGUCACAUACCACUGGCUGCCUUUUUCUUACACCCUGCAGUAUUAAUAAUGGUGAUCCUUCCAAGCUCCUGUGUUUUUACACACAAAUAUGUUGGUGAUAUAUGUGGGAUUUCUUAUACCAUGAAAUCAUACCAUAUCUUGUACUUUUUUCCAUGCUUUGGAAAACUUUCCAUAUCUCUGUCUCAAGUAUUAUUUUUUUUUUAGUUCCAUAUAUAAAUAUGCCAGACUCCCUGUUGGUGGAUGCAAAGGUUGCUCCAGUGCUUCACUGUUGGAAGCUGUCCUGCAAAAUGCACAGUAUUGUGACGCAUGUUCUGUGUGAUUAUUUCUGCAAGACCAUUUGUAAAGGUGUAAUUGCUGUGUCAAGGAACACAUCUAUUUGAAAUACUUAAGGGUACUGCAGAAUUGUUCUCCCAGGAGUCUGUGCCAAGUUACCCUUGGGCUGGUAGUAUAAAAGAGUGCCUGUUCCCUCACACGCUUGCCCCCGGGGCAUUACCAUUCUUGUUCGUUUUUGCUGAUCUGAUAGCUGCAAAAAAGUACCUCUUUAUUUUCAUUUCCUUGUCUAAGAGCAAAGUUAAUAUCUUUUCACAUUUCUGUUGGUUUUCUUUCUUUGAUUUUUAUUUGUUUAAUUGUUCAUCCCCUUAGCCUGUAUUUCUUUUGAUUUGUUAAUUUGUUCUCAUUGUUUUCUAGGAACGCUAUAUAUUUUGGAUUGGGUUACUAUAUGUGUUACAAGUACUUCCUCCUAAUCUGUCAUGUGUUUUUUAAAACUUUAUUUUAAACCAUUACGUAAUCUUUGGUAACUUCUGGGUUUUGUUGUCUUAGAAAGGCCUGUUGCACCCUCAAUAUUAUAAAUGCAUUAUGCUGAAUACAUUAUCCUUUAAUCUUUUGAAACUGUAUUUCAUCAAAGCUAAGAAAUACCAUUGUUGAUUUCAUGUCCCAGUAUUUUAUAUACUGAGAGGGGACCAAAUCUGCACAGAGUAUUUUCUAAUCAUUUCACAUUUUAUUUAUAGUUAACGUAAAGAUUUCUUCUAAGACAUUUAUUCCGAUCAGUUUUUUUAAACUCUUAUAAAAAGGAACGUCUGUUCUGUCAGUUCUUUAUCUUUGUAUCAGCAAUCCUCAGACCUUGGGUGUUCCCCUCAAUUUGUCCCUUAUUUUAAUACAGCUUUCAUUAUUACUGUCUGAGUAUUCAUCUGACAGUAAUAAUGUAUAUGGAACACCUUUUAUGAUACAAGUAUUUUAUUAGAUACUUUCAUAAUGUUCUCAUCUAACCCUUGCAGCAGCCCUUUAAGUGUUAUUAGUGUACUUUACAGUUGAGGAAACUGGGACUCAGAAAAGUUAAGUUGCUUGUAAUCACAAACAGUUAAAGUGAUGGAGAUUCCUGAGCUCAGAGCAAGCACCCUGGGUACCGUACGUAAGUGGUUCAGAGAUGCAGGCCGUGGGUCUGAGACAUUUGUAGAGAUUGGAAAACUAAAUACAUGGGAGAAAUUGACCCUCAGGUAUACAGUCAGUCUAGAAUGGAGCACGUAGAGUGUGUGAUUAAAUGUGUGAUUCUAAUUUUCAUACCUUUCAGAACCGUGCCUUCAGAUAAAUGUUCACUUCUGCCCUUCUCUUAUUAAUAAACCUGCUGAUACUCCGGCUCUUGUUGGUCUUCAUAUUGUUAUAGUUCUCGAAUCAGUAGGAUUUAUAACUGGAUCUUCGCUUUAAUGUGGGAAGUACCAGCACUGCUGCAUAACCACUCUCUCCAUCUAUAUGUUAAACCUAAACCAGGACAGGAGAUGAGAAUUGUACACUAGCAUGAACAAAGUCAUUCCAUUUGAACCACAGUCAGUCUCAGUAGUCAUCCUCCUUGAACCUUUAAAGUAUAUUUUUAAAACUGCAUACAUAAUAAGAAUGGCAGUUUUAUUGUGACCCUUGGCAAAGUUUUAUUAUGACCCUAAGGAAGUUAUUUAAGCUUUUUAUUUCCACACAAGCAUUUAAAGUUUUCGUUUCAAACUGAACAAACAGAAUGAACAGUCCGUACUGUUUGCUUGUGUAUAAAAAAUGAUUGAACAGAUCCCAGGCAUCUUGGACAGGGCAGGUAGAAGAGUCCCAGGGCUCACGUUAGGAACGUGAACUCAAGUGCCUAGAAAACCUGCUGUCGCCACGCCAUACAGGGAUUUGUGGCUGUACAGGCUGGAGGCAAAGCUCUGGGUAGACAGAGUGCAAGUCUCUUCUCGAGUCCUGUGGCUAUCUGGGGUUUAAUCCAUGCCUUGCAGUUACUUCUGUGUGUAACAGGUUGAGUGUGUGAGAGGCAGUGCUCAUAAAAGUUGGCAAACCUGUUUUACUUGUUUCUCAACCUUUGCAGAUCAUUGCUUAUGAAACACUGGUAUUUACAGUAAAUAUCUUGUUUUAGAUGUAGGCCAGCCCCAUCCAACCGUUUGUCCUUCAACAGCUUCGCCCUUUGGUAAGUUGGCACGUGGUUUGAGGUGGCCUUUGGUGAUGGGAAAAGGGAAAAGCUAAAGGGAAAGGCAGGAAGAAAGUAACAUUUCCAGGAAAACGUGAUCAUACUGAGGAUGGGAGAGCCCUUGAGAGGAAAAAGGGUUAGCUCUGUCUGUGUCAUGUGACCUUUGGCUAACUCCUGCAGCAUCCUGACUUCAUAGCCGUUUGUGUAAAUGGGAACAUUUGGAUGUAUACACCCCCGUAUCCCUGUGACUCCAUCCGGUGACCUGUUUCACUGUGCGUUCUUGUGUAUCAGCUCACAGUGCUAAUAUUUAGCAGAUUGAGUCCUAGAUUAAACCACCUGAAUUCAUCUGUAAAACGGGGUUACCUGUCUCCUAAAUGGUAGUGGUAAUUUAAUUAGAUAAUCCACAUAGUCCCUUAGCGCACAGUAUCUGGCCCCUACUAAGCCCUCAGGAAAUAACUCGAUCUUCAAAACUCUGUUCAAAUGUCCUAAUGUUACCUGAAUCUUGGGCCUCCCAGGUGAAAGGGGGGAGAGUUCUCAUCAUGCCGUAAACAUGUCUUCCGCUGUCUUCUCGUUUAGCACAUUAUGGUGCUAGUAGUGCUAUUUCGCACUGGUACUAAAAUUAUCACCAGUUUAUCUACGUGUGUAGUGUUCCACUUAGAUUAUGAGCCCCUUGAGGACAGAAACAAGCUUAUUUGUCUUCAUAAAUUCAAUGUCUGGCAUGAUAAAUUUUGUUGGAGGGUAAAAAGUUUAUUCCUGUUUAAAUAAGGUCCCCUCCUCUCUCAGAAGAAGAUAAUGUUGGAACAAAGGUGUCCAGUAGAAAUAUUCUCAAAAAUCCUGGGCAUGGGGACUUCCUUGGUGGUCCAAGGGUUAAGACUCUAUGCUUCCAGUGCAGGGGGCUUGGGUUCAAUCCCUGCUCAGGGAAUUAAAGAGUUCCCAUGCCACAACUAAAGUUCUCACAUGCUGCUACUAAGACCCAGCACAGCAAAAUUAAAAAAAAAAAAAAAAAAAAAAAGUUGGGCGUAUUCUCCAAACACCUUUCUUCUUUCUUUCUUUCUUUCUUUUUUUAAGUUAUUUAAUUGCCGCUCUACUCCCAAGGAUUUAAUCAGUUUUUUCACUUUGAUUCUUCACAGUGUUUUCGUUAUUAAAAAACUGAGGUAAGUAAAUGACUGCCUGGUGAAGAAUAAAGCAUCACAAUGGCAGCACCAAAGAGUUGCUCCUGGAAUCAAGGCCCUGGGUUCACAUUACAGCAUCUGCUACUUUCUCGCCAGAUGACAGUGAUCGAAUUAUUGUGUCUGUCUGACUCUACAAAGUGGGCAUGCUUCAGUGACUUGUAACGGUAGAAACAUAGACUCCAGGCUGUGCAGGGCUAGAGUCCUUGGGUGGUACUCUGGUCUCUCAAGUCUUUUCUAAGUUGUUAUAACCUAAUCGGAGGUGAUAUUCAUGUAGUGCCAACCCUGGACCUGCUUACUAGAACACACUCAAUUACUUCAGGAGUGGAGUUAGUUCAGUUCAUACCAUACCCUUGGGGAAAAAAAAAAAAGCCUAUUUAUUUUACCUAAUACACAAUUUUUUAUUAUUAAAGGUGUUUAAUUGUACCCUUGGUUCCAUGUUGGAAAACAGAACUAAGAUGUAAGUGUUGCUCAAGUAAUUAUUCUUCCAUCAUGCCAGUGUUGUAGGGAAGAAUGAACAGCAAAGGCAUACCUGAGAAUUAAGUUGUACAAUUAAAGGUUAAUAUUUUCUCAACACAAACAUACGGGUCUCUCCAUCCUGUAACUCUUACAGUUAAUUGUGGUAACUUGAGACACACACGAAACAUUAAAGCCGACUAGGUCUUUGUUGAUUGCAUGUUCCUUAGAAAAGAUGGAAGUGUAGGGAAAAUUAUUCUUAGUACUGCUGAUACAAAUAAAGCUAUUAGGUGCCUUUCAGCAUAGUGCAUAUGGUAUCUGAACCUUCGUCACCUAUGAAAUUUUUGUCCAAAUCACUUUGCAGUUGCCGUGUUUUAAAGGAACCCCUUAAAAUCCCCGACUGGUAAGUUCUCCUUUCCUUGUUUUACUGGUUUUGAACCUCAUACUGUUUUACUAAAUAAACAUUUUCUCCUAACA